CACAUCCAGUACAUGAAUAAAUGAAAAACGCAAGUUACAAAACAUUACAGAGGUAAAAUCAUAAAUAUAGUCCCUGAAUUUCAUGGCCACCUGACCUUCACAUGAAGCUCAUAUUAAAGCCAUCUAUAGAGCAUGUUUUCCUGAAAACUUGACAAGUGAGUACACACAACCUCUCUUUCUUUGGUCAUGUGGAGAUAGGAGUUUUGUACCAUAAAAGGCAUAGCCCAAAGUGUCAAUUGUUUAGCUCCCUAAGAGGCAGGCCCAUGGUCGUCUUAAAUGCCAGCAGCAGGUUGAAGUCACCUGGAAUGGUGUUUCAGAGAAAUCCUCUUUAGUAUAGGGAAGGCUUGUAGUCUGAGAAAUCAUUCCAUGUUGGAAUUGGGAAUAAAGACAGUCCUCUCACCAUCCU
rnacentral:lncRNA from 1 species